rnacentral:lncRNA from 1 species
AUACACUAUUUACAUUCAGUUUUGCAACUCAGGUACAGAUAUUUUUCGCUUGCCUUUCCGAAAAUCUAUUUGAGCUCAAAUUUGGUAGUCAUGCUCGGUUUUACUUAACUUAACGAAAGAAAUUUUAAUCUUUCAGUUUCGACCUUGUUUGGUCACCGAAAGCCCUACCGAACUGUAAUCUCUAGCAGAUAGCAGUCGGAUUUUAUUUUUCAUUUUUCGGGUGUCAGAAUGGUAUGAAACUUUAAAUCUAGCAUCAUAAAAAUAAUUCUAACAUAUUCUCCAGUUUUCAUAAUUUUCUGACACUGCAUUUUCUGCUAAAAUAUCAGCCCCGUCUCUCAUAGAAAAUUCUAAAUUUUCUGUUUUCAUUCCGAUUUCAGCAUACGUCAUUUCAGACUUACAUUUUGCUUCUAUCAGUCCAAUAAAAUAAUAUCUCACACUAUUUUUAUUUAUUUUUUACUUUUAUAUCAAAAUCCGGUAUGUUACAGAAAAUUUUGAAAUAUUUGCAAGUUGAAAAAUAAGGACGAGAAGGAAGAAGAAAAUUUAGACAGACAAGAAUAAGGAAAAACAUGCUCA